rnacentral:misc_RNA from 1 species
AACUUUAACCACUAAUUAUUGAUUCAAUGAUAAAUUCAAAUUCAAGUUCAAAAUCUAUGUACAGUAAAUUUUUUUUAAGUAUUCUAGUGAUAUGGAACAAAGAGGAGGUAGUGGUGUCUCAAUCUUUCGUUUUUGAAAAAUGGAUUCUAUUCAAUGUGACCUUAAGUCAUAUAAUUUUCAAUCAAUGUUGGGUUUAGUAUAUGCUCCUUAUGACGAUGGCAACCAA